GUGCUCGCUUUGGUAGCACAUAUACUAAAAUUGAAAUAAUAGAUCAGCUAUUAAAUAAGAGAAGAUCAGCAUGGCCCCAGAGCAAAGAUGUCAUACAAAUUCAUGAAUUGUUCCAUAUAUUU
rnacentral:snRNA from 2 species